AAGAUUCAUACUUGGUGUUCAGCAAAGCAAGAGUCGCUACAGAACCCAUUUUGUUUAAAGGACACGGACCAUGUUCUCAAAUAUAAUGUGUCAGAAAAUGCUGCUAGCGUUCACAUCGUUCUUAGUAAUUACCUGGAUGAUAUUUGUCAUUUCUCAAAAUUCUGCAAAGCUUUGGACCACUCUAAACACAGCCAUAUGUUUCCAUCCCUGGAACACAUCCAUGAAGUCCUCCUGUCCUGAAAUUCCAAUGAGCCAGUCAAAGUUACUACCAGUGAUUAAGCUAGAAGAGGAGAUCCCUAAAAUGACAGGCCACCAACAAGACAAGUCACCAACAGAGACAGAGCUGAAAGUCAGGGAGAUCCUGGAGAAGCUGGAUCGGCAGAUACCUCCCAGACCCUUCACCCACCUCAACUACACCACAAGCGCCACACACAGCACGGCCACCAUCCUCAACCCUCAAGAUACAUACUGUGUGGGGGACCUGCUGGACAUCCUAGUAGAGGCUAGAGACCACCUAGGAAACAGGAAGGGGUAUGGUGGGGACUUCCUGAGGGCCAGGAUGUUCUCCCCAGCCCUGAAGGCAGGAGCUUCUGGAAAGGUGACAGACUUCAACAAUGGCACCUACCUCGUCAGCUUCAUUCUGUUCUGGGAGGGCCCGGUCUCACUGUCUAUUCUGCUCGUGCACCCCAGUGAAGGGGUGUCAGCUCUCUGGAGAGCAAGGAACGAAGGCUACGGCAGAAUUGCUUUCAAAGGUGCUUUUGUUAAUGGCACGUCCCAGGUCACAGCUGAAUGUGGCCUGAUACUAGAGUCAAGCAGUGAGCUAUGCAAAUACCUGUACCGUGGUGGUGAGGAAGUCUUCUACUGCAUGAAACCUCAACACAUUCCCUGUGAGGCCCUGACCCAUGUGUGUACCAGGCAGCAAGGUGUUUCUUAUCUCACUGCCAAAGAAAAAGACCUUUUUCAGAAGUCCAACAUAGGAGUUGAAAUGAUGAAGAACCCAAAGUCUAUUGCUGUCUCCCAAUGCAACAAGAGUGAGAACGUGAGAAAGAAAUGUGAGUUUGGAAUGGAGGUUCCCACACCUAGCGGCUACACUUUCCAAGGAAGGUGGGUGUCGGCACAGUGCACCCAGCGCCUGCUAAACUCAAGUCAGAUAAACGACUGUCUGAAAAGGAAACUCAUUUACCUCCUGGGAGACUCCACGCUGCGCCAAUGGAUCGAGUACUUUCCCAAGGUUGCACAAACAUUGAAGCCUUUUGACCUUCAUGGGACUGGACUGUAUAAGAAACAUGUGCUUUUGGAUGCUGAAAGACACAUACUGGUUGAAUGGAAGAAACACAGCCACCCUUUCAUUACUGUGCAGCUCUACUCUGUGAUAGAUGAUGGCUAUAUCCCUCAGGAAAUUGACCGCUUACCAGGUGACAAAGAUACUGUCAUAGUCAUUACCUUGGGCCAGCACUUCAGACCCUUCCCAAUGGAACUCUUCAUUCAUAGAGCCAUCAGUAUCCAAAAGGCUAUCGAACGGCUCUUCCUCAGAAGCCCUGAUACUAAAGUCAUCAUUAAGACAGAAAAUGUUAGGGAGAUGAACCUGGAUACGGAAAAGUUCGGAGACUUCCACGGUCUUAUUCAGUAUCUAACUGCAAAGGAGAUUUUCAAAGGCCUGCAUGUGGGUACCAUUGAUGCCUGGGACAUGACCAUUGCGUGUGGUUCCAGUAAUCUCCAUCCACCUGAUGGCGUGAUUAGACAGCAGAUUGACGUGUUUUUAAACUACAUUUGCUAAAGAUACAUCACUAGGAGCCAAUGUCUCCAGCCAUGUA
rnacentral:lncRNA from 1 species